rnacentral:rRNA from 1 species
UUUUAGUUUAGUGGCGGACGGGUGAGUAACGCGUGGGUAACCUGCCCUAUACAGGGGGAUAAUAGUUGGAAACGACUGUUAAUACCGCAUAAGCGCACAGGAGCGCAUGCUCCGGUGUGAAAAACUCCGGUGGUAUAGGAUGGACCCGCGUCUGAUUAGCUGGUUGGCGGGGUAACGGCCCACCAAGGCGACGAUCAGUAGCCGGCCUGAGAGGGUGAACGGCCACAUUGGGACUGAGACACGGCCCAAACUCCUACGGGAGGCAGCAG